rnacentral:rRNA from 1 species
CGAUGCCUACGGGGGGCAGCAGUGGGGAAUAUUGCACAAUGGGCGAAAGCCUGAUGCAGCAACGCCGCGUGAAGGAAGAAGGGUGUCGGCUCAUAAACUUCUAUCAAAAGGGACGAAAGAAAUGACGGUACCUGAAUAAGAAGCCCCGGCUAACUACGUGCCAGCAGCCGAGGUAAUACGUAGGGGGCAAGCGUUAUCCGGAAUUACUGGGUGUAAAGGGAGUGUAGGCGGCAUGGGAAGCCAGAUGUGAAAGCCUUGG